rnacentral:rRNA from 1 species
GACGAACGCUGGCGGCGUGCCUAAUACAUGCAAGUCGAACGAGAGCGACCGGUGCUUGCACUGGUCAAUCUAGUGGCGAACGGGUGAGUAACACGUGGGUAACCUGCCCAUCAGAGGGGGAUAACAUCCGGAAACGGAUGCUAAAACCGCAUAGGUCUUCGAACCGCAUGGUUUGAAGAGGAAAAGAGGCGCAAGCUUCUGCUGAUGGAUGGACCCGCGGUGCAUUAGCUAGUUGGUGAGGUAACGGCUCACCAAGGCCGUGAUGCAUAGCCGACCUGAGAGGGUGAUCGGCCACAUUGGGACUGAGACACGGCCCAAACUCCUACGGGAGGCAGCAGUUGGGAAUCUUCCGCAAUGGACGCAAGUCUGACGGAGCAACGCCGCGUGAGUGAAGAAGGUUUUCGGAUCGUAAAACUCUGUUGUUAGAGAAGAACAAGUGCUAGAGUAACUGUUAGCGCCUUGACGGUAUCUAACCAGAAAGCCACGGCUAACUACGUG